GAGAACUAAAGAAGCUCGUAGACAUUUUUGGACAGCUUGCUAUUUAUCAGAGGUGAUAGCAAGUUUGUUUCGUUUUCUCAAGUUUAUCUCUUGCUCUCUGAAACAAAAUGGUAAGCUUUAUGAUGUAUGUCAUUAUGUGUCCCUAAUACAUGUUCAUGUUUUUUAAGAUAUUUGUCUAACCUUCCUACUUGUCAGUAUAAACGUGGAGGUCACAUGCAUGGUGCAGUUUCACAAAGAAGAGCGGCCCCUUCCGCUUCCUCGUCCCCGUCCCUUUCCUCUUCCCCUACUCUUUCAUAUUUCCCUCAACCACUACAUGCUGAUGGACAACAUGGACACAUUGGCCCUUCCUCCGACCCUCAAGAACAUAUUAGGGGACAACUUGGACACAUGCGAACUGAAUCUACUUCAGUUCCACCUUCUUCUUCAGUGCAACACUCGAAUGAUGAGGGAAACACAAGUGAAGAAGAUAGUCGAUUCAUGAUACGCCCAUAUGGAGAUUCAUUCACGGAUACUACGUAUGUUGUGAUGCAACUUAAUAAAAUAGUCAAUAACUCUUGAAGGGGGUAGUAUAUUAGUUACAAUAGCGCUCCAAAAGAAGUAAAUGAUUGUGGUGGAAUGAGUUCAAGCGGAAGUUCAGGUGGGAUGAAACGGAAGAGGAUGAAGUUAAAAGAAUUUUUAAGAAGAAAGUCGGUGAUCACAUAUGAAAUGUAAUGAAUAAAGCAAAGAUAAGUCAAUAAAACCAGAUUUUAUUACGGGUGACAAUUGGACCGAAAUUAAGAGAAUUGGGAAACUGAAAAGAAUAAGCAAAUGAGUGAACAGAAUAAGAAGAAUUGAGCUUCUAGUUCUAGUGAAGGGUUUGACACAUAUGCUGGGGGCUCUAUCAACAUCGAGGAGCAUAGAAAAAGAAUGGAAAAAUAUGAUGAACUUUUAAUGAAUACUGCUGGUGGUAGUGGUGGUGAUGGUGUUGCUGUGUCUGAGCCAUCAGUUGACAGUAUGCCAUUAUGGGUAGAGGCAUCGGGUGGGAUGAAAAGAGGAAAAAUAUUUGGGAUGGGAUCCUUGUCAAGGGUAUACACAACGUAGGCUGCUGUAACUUCAUCCUCCAAUGCGGCUGUUUCAAGGAGGACACAACUUGAGGAGCAAAUGACCCAAGAAUUGAGCCAAUUGAAACAUUUACUUGUAGAGAAGGACGAAGAAAUAAGAGUGGUCAACUAACAAAUGCAAUUGAUCUUGCGACUCCUCAACCUCGAUCACGAUGAGGUUCCUCCUGUACCUCCGACUAAUCCAAUGGGUGAUGGGCACAAUGAUGAGCGACAUGAUGAUGAUGACAAUGCUGCUGAUGAUGAAGAUUUUGUCAGUCCUUGCUAGUUAAAAUUUCCAUUUUCAUAUCAUUAUAAUAUUUUUAUGCACUAAA